rnacentral:rRNA from 1 species
UACGUAGGGCGCAAGCGUUGUCCGGAAUUAUUGGGCGUAAAGAGCUCGUAGGCGGCCUGUCGCGUCGGAUGUGAAAGCCCGGGGCUUAACCCCGGGUCUGCAUUCGAUACGGGCAGGCUAGAGUGUGGUAGGGGAGAUCGGAAUUCCUGGUGUAGCGGUGAAAUGCGCAGAUAUCAGGAGGAACACCGGUUGCGAAGGCGGAUCUCUGGGCCAUUACUGACGCUGAGGAGCGAAAGCGUGGGGAGCGAACAGG